rnacentral:rRNA from 1 species
GUCCUUUUGAAUUUAAUAUGAGGUCUAACCUGCCCACUGAAAUUUUUUGAAGGGCCGCAGUAAUUUGACUGUGCAAAGGUAGCAUAAUCAUUAGUUUUUUAAUUGAAAGCUUGUAUGAAGGGUUGGACGAGGUAAAUUCUGUCUCUAUUUAAUUUUACAUAAAAUUUAAUUUUUAAGUUAAAAAGCUUAAAUUUAUUUAAAAGACGAGAAGACCCUAUAGAUCUUUAUAUUAAAAAUAUUAAUUUUAAUUAAGAAUAUUUAAUUUUUUAGUAUUUAUAAUAUUUUAUUGGGGUAAUAAAAAGAUUAAAAUAAUUCUUUUUUUAUUUUAACAUUUAUUUAUGANUGUAUGAUCCAAUUUUAUUGAUUAAAAGAUUAAGUUACCUUAGGGAUAACAGCGUAAUUUUUUUAGAGAGUUCAUAUCGAUAAAAAAGUUUGCGACCUCGAUGUUGGAUUAAAAAUUAUCUUAGGUGUAGAAGUUUAAGAUUUUGGUCUGUUCGACCAUUAAAUUUUUACAUGAUCUGAGUUCAGACCGGUGUAAGCCAGGUCGGUUUCUAUCUUUAAUAAAAUAUAAUAUUUUAGUACGAAAGGACCAAAUAUUUAAUAUAUUUAUAUUUAAUUAUUUUGAAUAU